GAAUACCCCGUGACUGCGGAGCGGCUGCGGCGCAACGCGUGCGAUGGGGCGC
rnacentral:sRNA from 1 species